GAUGAACGCUAGCGGGAGGCUUAACACAUGCAAGUCGAGGGGUAACAGGGGUAGCAAUACCUGCUGACGACCGGCGUACGGGUGAGUAACGCGUAUGCAACCUGCCCUAUACAGGAGGAUAGCCCGGAGAAAUUCGGAUUAAUACUCCAUGUAGCAUUUUUUCGCAUGAAUUAGAUGUUAAAGAUUUAUCGGUAUAGGAUGGGCAUGCGUCCCAUUAGCUAGUUGGUGAGGUAACGGCUCACCAAGGCAUCGAUGGGUAUGGGGUCUUAAAGGAUGGUCCCACACACUGGCACUGAGACACGGGCCAGACUCCUACGGGAGGCAGCAGUGGGGAAUAUUGCACAAUGGAGGAAACUCUGAUGCAGCAACGCCGCGUGAGUGACGAAGGCCUUCGGGUUGUAAAGCUCUGUCAUCUGGGACGAUAAUGACGGUACCAGAGGAGGAAGCCACGGCUAACUACAUG
rnacentral:rRNA from 1 species